rnacentral:rRNA from 1 species
AUUGAACGCUGGCGGCAGGCCUAACACAUGCAAGUCGAACGAGUGGCGGACGGGUGAGUAAUGUCUGGGAAACUGCCUGAUGGAGGGGGAUAACUACUGGAAACGGUAGCUAAUACCGCAUACAAUCGGAUGUGCCCAGAUGGGAUUAGCGAGUAGGUGGGGUAAAGGCUCACCUAGGCGACGAUCCCUAGCGGGUCUGAGAGGAUGACCAGCCCCACUGGAACUGAGAGACGGGCCAGAUUCCUACGGGAGGCAGCAGUGGGGAAUCUUGCACAAUGGGCGCAAGCCGGAGGCAGCCAUGCCGCGUGUAUGAAGAAGGCCUUCGGGUUGUAAAGUACUUUCAGCGGUGAGGCAUUGCCCGCAGAAGAGGCGCCGGCUAACUCCGUGCCAGCAGCCGCGGUAAUUC